GCAGCUGGUGCUCUUAACCCCUGAACCAUCUCUCCAGCCUCCUUCUUUUCUUAACUUACCUUUGUUAGGCUUUUUUGUCAGAGCAAUGCGAAUAGUAACUAAUACACACAGUUAUAGGCCAUGCUUCUGUGGGUGAUGUUUGGUGGAGGCCUGAAGAUAAAGGAGGAAUAACCCUCAUUGAGGUCAACACUGGAGUAGAACUACAUAGAAUUCUACUAGCUAACAAAGAGCAGGAGCCAAAGUCUGGUGUCAGGCUUGGAAAGCUGAGAUUGAGGCUCCACCAAAGCCUGUCUUGGUUUUCAGGAGCAAGGUGAGCCCAGGUGUCGGCUAAGGGUCAGUGAGGCUACAGGAGAGCCAGUGCUCCAAAUAUUUCUGCAAGGGAGGGAGAGAUGACGGGUACCCAGGAGAUAGACCCAGCCAGGGCGUGACGUGAUGGGUACCCAGGAGAUAGACCCAGCCAGGACGUGACGUGAUGGGUACCCAGGAGAUAGACCCAGCCAGGGCGUGACGUGAUGGGUACACAGGAGAUAAACUGAGCCAGGACGUGACGUGAUAGGUACCCAGGAGACAGACCCAGUCACUUGGACUCAGCCAUCUGAACAUCUGAGUUUGGGAAGAUGGACUUCGGAUUCCAGGUACUUCCUAAAAGUCUGACGGGGAGAGAAAAUGACGGGAACAUUCAAGCACUGAACUCUGGCAGUCACUGCUUCCUGGCAUACUAUGGCCCGAAGACUCACUGGCAAGCUCAGAGCUUAGGAAACAUCAGUUAGUAGAAGUCACACUGUGUGAUUUGCUGGGUGAGCUGUGUUGCCUACAAAACCAGGAUUAAUCUUCAAUAUAUGUGACUCUAGAUCUUAACCCUCAUUUGUAAUCCUUCUAUCAUAAAGGAAAACAAUGCUCUUUGCAAUUUAAAAACCAAAGAGUGAGGUUAGGGAUGUAGCUUAGUUGGUGAAAUGCUUGCCUAGCAUACAUGAGAUGCUGGUUUUGAGGCUCAGGUCUGUAAAAAACUUAGCAUGGUGACGAAUGUCUAUAAUCCCAGGAUCCAGGAUCCAGGCUGGGGGACCAAAAAGCCUGGGAACAUCUUUGGCUACAUGAGGAGUUCGAGACCAGUGUGGGAUAGAGACCCUGCCUCAAAAAACUUGAGAUGAGAGAGAAAGAAGAGGAACAUUUAUUUCCCCAAGCCUGUUAUUAAGGUGACGCCAUGAGCGGUUCGCAUGGACUGAUCACACUGAAGCCCGUGACACCCCAGCAUGCUGUUUAUUCUGGCAGACACCCUCCUUUGCUCUCACGUGAGUUUGCGUCGGGGAGCUUCCCGUGUCGUGUGGCGGCCUGUGAUGGCAGCGGAAGAUGAUAACCGAGCUCAUUCGUGUGGUUGGUAGCAGGGGGAGCGGAAUUACGCCAACCCUGUCUCUCCUUCCACACAUAUCCCCCUAGGCUGUGCUGUGCUUAACACCUGUGCCCUAGCGAGUUGUGUGUCUGUCUCCCGUGAAGAGCAAAGAGCAUGCAUCUAGCAUAGUGCACCACAGAGAGUAACUGUUUGCCAAAUAAGCGGUUUUUCAGGUCAACUGUAGAAAAUGCUGAUGAACCACAUAUGGUUGGAAAGUGGAGGCAGGAGCACCAGUUCGAGACCAUCUUUGACUAUAUGGAGAAUUCGAAGCCAGCCUGGACUGAAUGAGACUGCGCCUCAGACAAGCAAACAAAGCCCUUGACGUGUGCACCUCCAACUACCUAGAAGCAGAAGUGUAGCUCUCCCCACACCCCCUUACAUCCAGGCUAGCCUUGCCUUGCUUGGACUAAUAGAACAGGACAAAGUGAAAUGCGGUUUCCAAGCUGAAAAUCUUUCUGCUGUGGAAAUCCUGAGCCACAGAUGAAGACAGGUUUAACCCUAUGGCCCUAACUAUUGAGAUCAGGCUGCUCUCUGAUCCAAGGUACUCCACACUGUGAAAACAAAGGUUUUCACAAAGGUUUUUCAGGCUGUGCCUUGCCCUGGGAGACUUCAUUUGACAGCAGCAUUUGACUCCACUCUGAGUGCAGGCACAGAGGUAGGAUGUCCCUGCACCUUGGUGACAGCACAUGAACAACGCUGUCCACCCAGCACCACCUGUAGGCGCAGACUGAUGCACCGUUUAUUCCUAAAAUAAAAGGGGGCAAGCCACAAAUUUUCCAAAGGAAUUUAGAUGAAGUAAAUGCACGUGUAUUAACAUCAUAUCAGGAGAGCCAGACCCGAGAACUCAGCAGCCAUGCAGACUAAGGGAAUGAUGCAGAACGCCAACCUGGAUCCCCGAAAGAGAAGGAUCAUCUUGACAGCAUCGAAGCCAGCAGACGGAGAGGCCAUUCCCACAGACUGUCCUCCGUACCUGAUGUCAGUCACAAACAGCAGCCACCCGGGUUUCAGAGUGCGCUGUAAUCCAGUUCCCAUAGCCUCAUCAACAGGCUUGAUUCCUUUGCUGGAGAACAUUCGCGGAGCUCAGAGAAAUGUUUGCUCCAGAUGACCAGCCAGGUGGGAGGAGUGCACUGAGGAAGACAUGUGGGAAGGGCGGGCAGAACCUCUCUGGACACUUCACCCUCAAGUCCCUCCACGUGUUCAUCUCUUGAAAGGUCCCGCAACCCAGUCCCUUCCGGCUUUUAUGAAAGUGUCAUUUCAUAGGCCUGAUUGGUUGCAACACUGACCAUCAGGGGUCAAUAGAACUCGGGACUGAAGUUCCCAACCCUCUCAGGGUACCUUGGUUUUUCUGAUGACCAGCUGUGAGACCCCCUAGCCACUAGGCAUCUCAUUGAUACAUAAAAGAUGCUAGCAAUUUAAAGUGUUGGUGGAGGGUUGGAGACUGGCUCUGGGGAACACAAAAACCAAUGUGUUUUCACACCAUCACACAGAUAUUGGUGUAAGGGAGUAGUGUUAAAUCCUACUAGAACAUCUUUUGUUACGGACCUUGGUACCAUCCCUGGCAUC